rnacentral:sRNA from 1 species
AUAUCUCUUCGUACGGGAAGGAUGAGAAGCUUCGACUAAGGUUCGAUUCGAAGCGCAGCGAGAAAGCGUUGCCGCAGGCAACGACCCGAAGGGCGAAGCGCGCAGCGCUGAGUCAUCCUUCCCCCACCACCA